UAGAUUUGAGCCGUCCCGGUCAAACUGAACUUAAGGGCAAAAUAAGGGAAGAUAGUGUAGUGGAUCCUAUGGGCAGGACUAGUGCAAAAAAUUGCAAAAUGGGACAUCUAAUCCCAAAAUAAAGAAAAAGUCCAGAAAGAAAUAAAAAAGAAAGAAAAAGAAAGAGAAAAAAAGAAAAAAAAGAAGGAAGAAUAAAGUGAAGAAUGUGCUUAGGCCCGCAAGAAUAGGCAAGGGAUCAAGAAAAUCUGGGAAGUCUGUUGCCCAGAAUGAAGUUCAGAAUGACCUUAGCCUCGUGCCCAAAAAUUCCCACCUUAUGCCUUAAGCCACAUUACAACCAAUGAAAGACCUAAUGAGAUGCACCUAGGACUUUUGACUAAAGGGGAAGACAAUAGAAGAGGGGCAAGCUUAUGGUCAGAACCCAAUCAAGAUGUCCGGAGUGAAAAC
rnacentral:lncRNA from 1 species